UAGCUCAGUUGGUAAAGCAUCUGCCUGCAGUGCGGGAGACCUGGGUUCAAUUCCUGG
rnacentral:tRNA from 1 species